rnacentral:snRNA from 1 species
GUGCUCACUUCGGCAGCACAUAUACUAAAAAUUGGAACAAUACAGACACGAUUAGCAUGGCCCCUGCUCAAGGAUGACACACAAAUCCGUGAAGCAUUCCAUAUUUCU